rnacentral:rRNA from 1 species
AGCAGCCGCGGUAAUUCCAGCUCCAAUAGCGUAUAUUAAAGUUGUUGCAGUUAAAAAGCUCGUAGUUGAAUUUCGGGGUCAGCAAGUUGGUCGUGCCAAUGGUAUGUACUGGCUUUGCUGAUUCCUCCUUCUUGUAGGGCCGUAAUGCCAUUUAGUUGGUGUUGCGGGGAAACAGGACUGUUACUUUGAAAAAAUUAGAGUGUUUAAAGCAGGCUAACGCUUGAAUAUAUUAGCAUGGAAUAAUGAAAUAGGACGAGCGAUCCUAUUUUGUUGGUUUCUAGGAUUGACGUAAUGAUUAAUAGGGAUAGUUGGGGCAUUAGUAUUCAAUUGUCAGAGGUGAAAUUCUUGGAUUUAUUGAAGACUGACUACUGCGAAAGCAUUUGCCAAGG